CAGCCGCCGCGGUAAUACCGGCGGCCCGAGUGGCGGUCACUAUUAUUGGGCUUAAAGCGUCCGUAGCCGGGUUGGGAAGUCCUCCGGGAAAUCUGGCCGCUUAACGGUCAGAAUGCCGGAGGAUACUCCCAGCCUAGGGAGCGGGAGAGGCCGAGGGGAUUCCCGGAGUAGGGGUGAAAUCCUAUAAUCCCGGGAGGACCACCUGUGGCGAAGGCGCUCGGCUGGAACGCGUCCGACGGUGAGGGACGAAGGCCAGGGGAGCAAACCGGAUUAGAUACCCGGGUAGUCCUGGCUGUAAACGAUGCGGACUUUGUGUCGGACAAGCUAUGAGCUUGUCCGGUGCCGGAGGGAAACCGUUAAGUCCGCCGCCUGGGGAGUACGGCCGCAAGGCUGAAACUUAAAGGGAUUGACCGGG
rnacentral:rRNA from 1 species